rnacentral:rRNA from 1 species
GCUUCGGCCUGGUGGCGAGUGGCGAACGGGUGAGUAAUAUAUCGGAACGUACCCAAGAGUGGGGGAUAACGUAGCGAAAGUUACGCUAAUACCGCAUACGAUCUACGGAUGAAAGCAGGGGACCGCAAGGCCUUGUGCUCCUGGAGCGGCCGAUAUCUGAUUAGCUAGUUGGUGAGGUAAAGGCCUACCAAGGCGACGAUCAGUAGCUGGUCUGAGAGGACGACCAGCCACACUGGAACUGAGACACGGUCCAGACUCCUACGGGAGGCAGCAGUGGGGAAUUUUGGACAAUGGGCGCAAGCCUGAUCCAGCAAUGCCGCGUGAGUGAAGAAGGCCUUCGGGUUGUAAAGCUCUUUUGUCAGGGAAGAAACGGUAGAGGCUAAUAUCUCUUGCUAAUGACGGUACCUGAAGAAUAAGCACCGGCUAACUACGUGCCAGCAGCCGCGGUAAUACGUAGGGUGCAAGCGUUAAUCGGAAUUACUGGGCGUAAAGCGUGCGCAGGCGGUUUUGUAAGUCUGUCGUGAAAGCCCCGGGCUCAACCUGGGAAUUGCGAUGGAGACUGCAAGGCUUGAAUCUGGCAGAGGGGGGUAGAAUUCCACGUGUAGCAGUGAAAUGCGUAGAGAUGUGGAGGAACACCGAUGGCGAAGGCAGCCCCCUGGGUCAAGAUUGACGCUCAUGCACGAAAGCGUGGGGAGCAAACAGGAUUAGAUACCCUGGUAGUCCACGCCCUAAACGAUGUCUACUAGUUGUCGGGUUUUAAUUAACUUGGUAACGCAGCUAACGCGUGAAGUAGACCGCCUGGGGAGUACGGUCGCAAGAUUAAAACUCAAAGGAAUUGACGGGGACCCGCACAAGCGGUGGAUGAUGUGGAUUAAUUCGAUGCAACGCGAAAAACCUUACCUACCCUUGACAUGUCAG